rnacentral:lncRNA from 1 species
AAUGCCACAUCAAUGUGCAGAAUGUGGAUUCAGUUCACAAAUAAGGUUGAUCAAGAUCUUGUGCAAAACAUGAUGAGCUCCAUUAAGAGAAAAGUGCGUGAAUUCUUUUGCACUGGUGAAAUCGAACAUUAAUAUCCUAUGACCUGAAAUCUUUUAGUCUAGUGAUUCUAAAAAUAUAUAACUCAUAUAAAAAAAAUUGUUGCCAUUAUUCAGCUUGACUUUAUUUACCAGCAGAUUUUUUCUGUAACAACCUUUAUGAGCUGAGCUUCUCAUUCCAGCCUCUUCAGAGUCAAAAUGUCAAUUGUUCUAUCUCCCAGAGCUGAACUUCUCAUUUUUCACUCCUUUGCAGACACUUAUAAAAUUCCACUUCUCUCUCUCUCUCUUUUUUUUAUUUAUCAUUUAGUUAAUGAUAGUAAUAGUAGACUGGUUUCUUCUUUUCUGUUUAUUGAUAUUUCUUUGACAAAAUGGCUCUCCUUUCCACAUUUUGAUAGUUAUAUUUGAUCUGUCCUAUUCAUUAGUUGAUCUGAUGUUU